rnacentral:miRNA from 1 species
UGGGAGGGAAGGAUGGGAGGGAGGAGUAACAAAAGUGAAAACAAUUUCAAAUAGAUUUCAGUUUUUAGUUUUUGUUUUUACUUUUGUUACUCCUCCCUCCCAUCCUCCCCUCUCAUCUUCCCUCUA